rnacentral:rRNA from 1 species
AGAGUUUGAUCCUGGCUCAGGACGAACGCUGGCGGCGUGCCUAACACAUGCAAGUCGAACGGAGAAUUUCAAAGAGCUUGCUCUAAGAGAUUUUUAGUGGCGGACGGGUGAGUAACGCGUGGGUAACCUACCCAUAAAGCCGGGACAACCCUUGGAAACGAGGGCUAAUACCGGAUAAUCUUAAGUCUUGGCAUCAAGGCAUAAGGAAAGGUGGCCGAUGAAAAUGCUACUGAUUAUGGAUGGACCCGCGUCUGAUUAGCUAGUUGGUGGGGUAAAGGCCUACCAAGGCGACGAUCAGUAGCCGGCCUGAGAGGGUGAACGGCCACACUGGGACUGAGACACGGCCCAGACUCCUACGGGAGGCAGCAGUGGGGAAUCUUCCGCAAUGGACGAAAGUCUGACGGAGCAACGCCGCGUGUAUGAUGAAGGUCUUCGGAUUGUAAAGUACUGUCUUUGGGGAAGAACGAAGUACUUGAGAAAAUUGAGUACAAAUGACGGUACCCAAGGAGGAAGCCCCGGCUAACUACGUGCCAGCAGCCGCGGUAAUACGUAGGGGGCAAGCGUUGUCCGGAAUUAUUGGGCGUAAAGGGCGCGUAGGCGGAUAAUUAAGUCCGGUGUGAAAGAUCAGGGCUCAACCCUGAGAGUGCAUCGGAAACUGGCUAUCUUGAGGACAGGAGAGGAAA